GCCUAGGAAUCUGCCUGGUAGUGGGGGACGAACGUUUCGAAAGGAACGCUAAUACCGCAUACGUCCUACGGGAGAAAGCAGGGACCUUCGGGCCUUGCGCUAUCAGAUGAGCCUAGGUCGGAUUAGCUAGUUGGUGAGGUAAUGGCUCACCAAGGCGACGAUCCGUAACUGGUCUGAGAGGAUGAUCAGUCACACUGGAACUGAGACACGGUCCAGACUCCUACGGGAGGCAGCAGCC
rnacentral:rRNA from 1 species